GACACAUUUCUUUGCAAUUACUGAUUUACAUGUCUGCUUUUAUCACUGGUGAGGUUCUUUAGGACAGAGACAUUAUUAAUUCAUCUCUGGGCACAUAUGUUCCAACAUAUUAGAAGUACUACAGAGUGCUAUUACUAUGUAGUAUGUAGUAUUAGUAGUAGUUACUCACAAAUCAUUUUUAAAUAAGUGAUUAUAAUAUCUUUUUGUUAUUAUGAUUUAACACAAGAUGGAAUUUAUUUUCAGAAGUUUCCAUGAUAUAUUUGUUCUAUUUAAAAUCCAAUAGCCAUUAGAAUAUUACCAUUAUUUAAUGUAAAACAAUAAAAUAUUAAAUAUGAUCGUUCAUAUUUAAUGCAAACCGAACUCAUGGAAAUAUUGUGUAAAGAUCAAGUAAUUUUUGACAUACAAUUUUAAACUCAACUUUUCAUAUAGCAUACCUUAUGAUAUAUUUUCAGCCUACUUUUAAAUAUGUUGGCAUUGAAAGCCAGUUACUAAUUCGCUGAAUUCAUGAUUUCUUUUUAAGUUAUAGAAGUGGAAUUAUGUUUGAGAUAUUCAUUGCAUUACAUUUACCAGAACUUGAGUUCUUAACAUGGAACCUGAGAGUUUCUCCAAUUCUUAAGUCCCUGGGAGAAAUAGAUUAGCUGGAUGAGGAACUGAGAGGAAAAAUGGUCAGAGAUGUAGCAAGAGUUGGGAAGAAGGAACAAUGAUUUGCUUUCAAGGAGAUUUUUUCAUUGGUCUGUUUUCAGUGACAAACCCACUGCGAUAAUACAUGUAAAGUGAAAACAUUCAGGAAGUUCCCUUAGAAACCUCUUUUCUGGCAGUUCCUAAUUCUACAACAUUGUAUAAGUGAAAUACCAUAGUUACUGUCAUAGUAAAUUGAGCCAAGAGAAACAAGGGAGCAGGAGAAGAAAAGAAUUAAAGAGAGUUUUGUCUUUCAGUCUUCACUCUGUUUCUUCUUGCUUUUACCAGUCAUUCAGGUUUAUAUAAUUUCUUUAGAGAGGCUUCUACUAUGCAGGUCUUCCUUAAAGUCAUUGGUAUUACCUGGCAUGAUAUGUGAGCCUUUAAUAUCAGUCCCUUUAUCUCUUUAUUUUUAAAGUUUAUAUCAGUACAGAGUCCUGGAUUCUUAAUUAAUUUAAUAGGUUAGACUUUAUGCUAAUAUUCUUCAUUUUGAUGCUCAAAUUUUCCAAAAUUUGGCCAGCAGGGUUCCUUAAAGCUGGGUACCUUGCCCUUUCAACAUGUCCCUCUGAUUCUUUAUUUUUAUUUACUUAUUUAUUUAUUUAUUUAUUUAUUUAUUUAUUUAUUUAUUUAGAGACUGAGUCUUGCUCUGUCUCCCAGCCUGGAGUGCAAUGGCACAAUCUUGGCUCACUGCAACCUCUAUCUCCCAGGUUCAAGCAAUUCUCCUCCCUCAGCCUCCCGAGCAACUGGGACUACAGGCAUGUGCAACCAUGCCUGGCUAAUUUUUUUUGUAUUUUUAGUAGAGACAGGCUUUCACCAUGUUGGUCAGGCUGGCCUCGAUCUCCUGACCUCAAAUGAUCCAUCGCCUCGGCCUCCCAAAGUGCUGGGAUUACAGGCGUGAGCUGCCACACCCAGCCGUCCCUCUCAUUCUUUAAGUACUUCCAUGUUUUCUAAGGUACAAGAUGUUCCAUAUUAUUUUGUUAUUUGUCUUCCCCAGCUCUGAAAUCUGCCUUUCCUUCAAGGAGCCUUGGUUCUUUCUAGUGACAAAUUAUAUUUAGAAAGAAGAUCUGGGUAUUUGACUUGUAUAUUGCUAUUAAUUGGCCAUUGUUUCUAGUCUCUUUCAGUAGACAGAGCUAAGAAAUGUAAAAGGAAAUAUUUGAAUGUAUGUAUAUGUGAUAUAUUAAGUACAUUUAAACAUAUUAAAUUCAUGAGUUCAUACUAAUACUUUCAAUAAGCCACAAUUCCCUUUUCAUGUUUUCGAAGGAAAAAUAUCCAUUGUCUAUAUACAGUGGACAUAGAUAGUAAUAAUACUGAUCUUGAAAAGAGCAGUCUUAAAUAGAUCCCAUUAAUAGUUAAAGAUAACAUAUCUUAGAAUUCUAGAUAUUAGAGAGAUUAUCUAGAGCUGUAAUCUAGAUAUUUUAUAGAUCUUUGCUGUGCUGUUUUGAAUUUGUGUUGGAGUAGAACAAUCAGAUGACAAAAGCUCAUCCCACAUGGAAAAAUCAAAGCAUUCAUUACAGAGAGAAUUUUGAAAUAAAUGCAUAUAUAAAAAAUAUAUAUGCAUAUAUAAUGCAUAUGUAUAUGCAUAUAAAAUAUAUAUAUAUAAAAUGAGGGUUAUAAACAAUGAAGGAAAUAGUGAUACUAUCUAUGUGGGAACAAUACUAGUAUCCUCCCUUUGGAUGAAUACAGUAGCUACAGAUGCAAUUCUGGGGACUCUGUUUAGCAAUAGCUUAACUAUUGCUUGGCUACAAGCAUGGAUAACUUGUUCAAAGAUAAUGAGGAGUUGUAAAUAUUUAAAUAAACAGGAUUUGCAACAUAAAAAGCUUUGUGACUAUGUGUCUGAAUUCUUAGAGUUUUCUCCCAGCAAGACCUUGGAUGUGGCAGACUUUUCUGUAAUUGUCCAUCUCGCCCCUAUUUCAUGAAAAGCCAGAGCUUCUCUACUUAGUUUGCUAACCCCAAAUAUAUAAAUUCAAUAGAAGUACUAGCCUGUUUUUACUGGUUUAUUUGCUUUAUCUAAAAAAAACAAGGCAUAGUUUAAAGUCUGUUUUUGAUAGCAUAACAAAACAAAGGUUCUCAUUUUAAUAAUGCAUCACAUAUACACUUGGUAACUAUUGCAUAGUAAUAAUUUAAUAACUUGAGAAAUAUAUUUAUGCAUGUAUGUGUAUAUGUUCAUAUAUAUGUUAUUUUUAAUUCAGAAGUAAAACAAAUAUUGGAAGAGGCCACAGUUAUUAUAAAAAUAAUUUGACCAGUAUUGGACAAUGCAAAUAGCAAUCAUUUAGAAGUUUCUGUACAACAGAUGCCAUAUGUGUUACAUUUUAUUUGAUCAUCAAAAUUGUCAUAGAUAUUAUUAUCCCCAUUUCAUAGAAGAAACUGAGAUUAUAUAAUUUGUUCAACUUGACCAACUUCUUAUAACUAAUACAUAGUAGAGAUAAGGUUGAAACCUCAUUAACCAACUUCUUAUAACUAAUACAUAGUAGAGAUAAGGUUGAAACCUCAUUAGGUUUGACUCCAGACCCCAGCCUCUUUUGAGUGCAUCAUAAAAGGCUUUGGUCUGCCCGUGGCCAGUAACAACUUUUACUAAAUUGAUUCUUUGCUUUUUAUCUGUAAAAGGAAGUUAUUCACCUAUUUUGAUGAUCCCCAAUGUUUUUAACAUCAAUAAAUGUGUCCACCACACAUGAUAGUUUUUAAUGUUUUGUUUCCAUGAUUACAGGAUUAAAAAACUAUUAAUUAGUGAUACUUUUAAUUUUGAUUUUAUUAAUUAAAACACAUCUGUCUACAUCUGAAGAAUAGCACUUGUGACAACAGCAUAGACGGCUUCAUUUUGAGGAGUAAAUUACAAUUGAACAUGACCAAAUAUACAUAGAGAAGGCGUGGACCACACAAAUGUGAUUGAAAGCUGGCGUGGAGUCAUCUUAAAUUGACUUUUUCCCAAAGGGCCCCUAAAAGAGGGUAGAAUCCCAACAGAUAGAGUCUAUGGAGAGAUAGACUGCUGAGACCCAUAUUAUGGUCAGUGAAGUGCAGGCAAGGAAGGGAUCCUUAGCAAAAUGGGGAGAGGAAUGGAUGGUCUGAAAAACCCUGAAGGAACUGAAACACUCUGCAAAGGAAAGAAGAACAAGUAUCAGCUUUGACCCCUGCCAGACCUAGGCAGCAACAACGGCAGCUCACAAAGCACCAGAACAAACGCGCUUUCUUGUGCCCCUACAUGUCUUCCCUUCACCGUCUUGAACCCUGGUGUCAUCAUAAACUGUGUAAGUUAACAACUGAGGAGGGGAAGAAUGAUAAAUUGGGAAAAUAGAAAAGUGUCUGGGCCCUACUUUCAUACCGUAGGCCAGCCUUCUGUAGCAUGGCAGAUUAGGCAAGUGCAGAAGCCUUAAUUUUGAAUGAAAGUUGGAGUUUUUGUUCUGCUCUGGCUGUACCUAUCAGUUUCAAAACUGGAAUAGUUUAAAUGACUAAAGUACUAGGAAGAUUUUAUUACUUAAUAUAACUAUGGAGAACUGACCAAGAUUUUAUCUAGGGGGAGGAGUAUCACCCUACAGAGCAGACUUUAAGGGACAUUAUGAGAGAAAACAGUUACUUAGUGAUUUAAUGUUGCCAAUUCUGUUCUUUAGAAUACCAUCAUGUAUUUAUAUCCCUAUAUAUCACAUAACUAAAAUAUACAUUUAUCUGUACGCGUGUGUAUCAUAUGGAGCACAUUUUCUUUUGCAGGGUUUCUUUGUUUUAAAUGUCUAUUUGGUUAUUUUCUUGAUUGAAUUUCUGUGUAUGCUUUUUUCCUCAAUGCUUUAGCUGUAAGCGAAUAAGGUAAGGACUUUGUAUGCAAUAUUCUACAUGUUUUGUUUUAUAAUUAGAGAAUAUCUUAUUUUAUCUAAACCUCGUGUAUCACGUGAUAUAUUUGACACCCUGUCAUAUAUCAUACUUGGAUGCAAAUGUUUAUGAAACACAAAUCAUCUCAAAUCAACAGGAUCAAAAUUAUAUUUGAAAAAUGUAUUCAAUAAUAUGUGUAAGACAAGAUAAAAUUAAUUCUAAUUGAAUUCACACAGCGUUUGAAAUUGGAUGUAAAUCUGUAAUAUCAAAUUACAUUACAUAUGAAUUAUUAUUAUAUUUGCAUUCAGGAAAUUGUACUGUGUUCACUUCUGAGUAUCACUUAGAAAGAACAUUAGAACAGAUACCCUAUUUUCACUUUCUCUUCUCUUUUCCUGCUCCUUUUCUUCCUCUUUUCAAUAACCUGUCAUUGAAAAAUCUCUCCAUCUUAAUUAUCAAUAUGAAAGACUGAUUCUGAGAAAUGUAGAGAACCUAAGAUUUGCAUUUUGGUGGAAUAUAGAAUAUAAUUAAUAAAUAUUUUUAUAAGUAUGUAAAAUAUUUAAGAGGUAACAAUUUUAAGAUCUUAAAAGUCUUCUAUCAAAUACUGAAUUUUAGAUGUUAAGGCUAGUAGAGCUGUACAAAAAACAACAGCUUCUUGUAUGAAUGUUCCUCAGUUUAAAUAUUUAGUGUUCUAUUAUCAGUAUGUGGGCAUUAAAAAAACAAGUCAUUUGAAACUGAUAGAGAUAAUUAAGAAAUUCUUAGAUUUUGGGUAUAGGUGCUGCAACUUAGAAUUUAAGUGUCGUCCAAAAGAGAUUAGUAUUGGUCAUAACAUGGACUCUAAAGCCACCAUUUAAAUGAAGCAUGUAAAAAAGAAUAUUCUAGUACACAAAAGUUAUUAAUGGCCUAGAAUGACCUCCUUCUCACUCAUAUGAUGCAAAGAAUAAAGUAUAUAAAAAUGUUUGUUACAAUGGCUAUCCAUAAAAAAGAAAACCCUCCAAAACAGCAAAAUUGAAUAGGUAUCCACAGUCAACUUUAUCCUGAAAAUUGCCUAGAAAUACUGGUUGUGAUUACACAGCAUCCUGAGACCAAUGAAUCUUUAGACAGUAAUAAUUUCCUACUCUAAAGCUAUUCUCUACUUCCUCCUUAGUGACAGAGCUCCUUGCUGCUCAAAUUUUAUGCCAGAUAAAAUAUUCACCUUCUCGGACUCCCUGGCACCAGGCAUGGCCAUGUAAUCCUACAGCACAGCUGAUGAAAGAGAAGACAUCUUGCUGCUAUUUGACAAGCAAGAAGAUAAAAGCUUUCCUAUAAAGAUGAUGGAGCAAAAAAAUAGAAGGGGCCUAGACUCCCUACCUUCACACUUCCUGCUAUAAAAGCAUUGCUAUUAUAAGGUUAAUCUGCAGAAACAGACUUCUAUGUCAUAUGCUUAAAUGCAUCAAAAUUCAUACAAUAUCCAUUAAAUUGGUAAAAGUAUCCAUUUUAAAGGAUUAAUCUGAGGGACCCACAGACACUUAACACAAUCAAAUCUCAGAAAAAAAAUCAGUUAUUUCAUUGUGAUUUUGAGGCUGAUCUUUUAUGAUCUUUUAGUUAUCAAACUGUUAAAUACAUUUUAACUUUCAAAUUUUAUGAAUAAAGGAGAUGAAUCCUGUUAUUUUCUCAGUG
ensembl:lncRNA MAGI2-AS3 MAGI2 antisense RNA 3